AUUGAACGCUGGCGGCAUGCCUUACACAUGCAAGUCGAACGGCAGCGGGGGAGAAGCUUGCUUUUCCUGCCGGCGAGUGGCGAACGGGUGAGUAAUACAUCGGAACGUGCCCUGUAGUGGGGGAUAACUAGUCGAAAGAUUAGCUAAUACCGCAUACGACCUGAGGGUGAAAGUGGGGGACCGCAAGGCCUCAUGCUAUAGGACCGGCCGAUGUCUGAUUAGCUAGUUGGUGGGGUAAAGGCCUACCAAGGCGACGAUCAGUAGCUGGUCUGAGAGGACGAUCAGUCACACUGGGACUGAGACACGGCCCAGACUCCUACGGGAGGCAGCAGUGGGGAAUUUUGGACAAUGGGCGAAAGCCUGAUCCAGCAAUGCCGCGUGUGUGAAGAAGGCCUUCGGGUUGUAAAGCACUUUUGUCCGGAAAGAAAUGGCUCUGGUUAAUACCUGGGGUCGAUGACGGUACCGGAAGAAUAAGGACCGGCUAACUACGUGCCAGCCGCCGCAGUAAUAC
rnacentral:rRNA from 1 species